AGUGAAUCAAAUGUUAUCAUCCGGCAUUGAAAAUUGAAAUGUUUUUAUAAAGGAGGAAUUAUUAGGAAUCUUUGGUUAGUUAUUUAAAGGUGGACAGGAGAUAAAUUUUGCACAUACAGCCCGUCAA
rnacentral:rRNA from 1 species